rnacentral:rRNA from 1 species
UCCCCUAGUAACGGCGAGUGAAGAGGGAAAAGCCCAGCACCGAAGCCUGNAGCAGUUUUUGUUAGGCAAUGUGGUGUUUGGGUCGACUGGUUGGGUUGCCACUCCACUCGAAGUCCAGCAUUGAGUAUGGUAUCCUGGAUUUGGCCCAAAGAGGGUGAAAGGCCCGUGCGAGUGGAUGUCUCAGACAUGUAAGGCAACUCAUCAGGUCGACCUUCGAGUCGGGUUGUUUGAGAAUGCAGCCCUAAGCGGGUGGUAAACUCCAUCCAAGGCUAAAUACGUACACGAGUCCGAUAGCGAACAAGUACCGUGAGGGAAAGUUGAAAAGUACUCUGAAGAGAGAGUAAACAGUACGUGAAACCGUAUAGAGGUAAACGGGUGGCGUCAAGCUGCAAGCCUAGAGGAUUCAGUUGGUCAUCGUGUGUGUAUCCGUUUGUGUAUCUCAGUCGGUAAUAGUUUGGGUAGUCCACUGGUCAACGGUGGGCCUGGCCGCAAGGUCAGGAUGUACGAUUCGCUGGUUUGCGAUGUACGCUGCUCGCUAUUGGACUGGAUGGCCAAUGCAAUUCCUCUAUGGUGAACACCACGACCGGUGGUACUGCCAGUCUGACUUGGUCAAGUUGUAGUCAGUUAGGCAUUUAUGUCGGCUGGUUGCAAUCACAGGCAAACUCGGUGGACGGUGAGUUGACUUCAUGUUAUCGGCUACUGGUUGUCAACGGGUCUGUUCGUCGGUGCAGUCCUCGGCGGGCGACCUGGUGGACCUUGUUGGUUGUCUAACUGUGCAGGGCACUGGAGUUGUCGGUCCCGUGCGCACACUGCAAGUGUAUGGGGGCGUCAUCGCAGCCUGUCGGUGGUUGCACCUGAUUGUCGUGUUGCCUGCGCAAAGUGGGCCCGGCAGUGGUGUGGCCUCGGUUGGUGUUGUUGGUGGCGGUGUGCCAGUUGGUGUGGACCUGAUAGUCUGUGGUGUAGUGGUAGACCAGCCACCCGACCCGUCUUGAAACACGGACCAAGGAGUUUAACAUGCACGCGAGUCAUUGGGAUACGAAACCCAAAGGCGCAAUGAAAGUGAAUCCUCGACUUGUUCUCGGGGUGUGGUGAGAUCCUGCUGUUACUCGCAUCUGCACUUGUCGUGUGGCCACGGAACGCAAAGAGCAGUGGGCGCAUCACCGGCCCGUCCCAUGAUGUGGUCAUUGGUAGGCUGCUGUUGUGGUUCGGCUGUGGCGGCGGCUCCAG